UCUUUAGUCGAAGAUACAUAGUCGCAGCUGCGCCGCUUUCUCAAUGAUGCUUAGACGAAAUGUGGGAUAAGAGUCUUUAGUCCUUAUUUCUUAGAUAUGGCUGUAUAAACCGGAGACAUAGGAACAGCAACGGCAGAGACACAGCAAUAGACAUGGCCACAGAAGAACAGCCGAAGAACAACCCCGAUACGGCAACAGAUACAUUUAUAAAUACAGUACUUCUCUUUUUCUUUCAGAAAAAUCAUCUCAUGAUUACAUUCCUUUACGUUGUUUUUCUUUUCCCACCACUUGCGUGUCCUUUGGUUCAUCAGUUGGCCAUUAUUAUUCGAUGUUUGUUUAUUCUUACUUCGACAUCAUAUGACAGAAUAUUCCGGGUUAUGUCAUUCUGGAUUGAAUUACGAUGAAGUGUAUAAUUACUAUUUAUAAUAAAUUUUUGAUAAGUGCGAACUUUGUUGCUUGGUUAUAUUUCUUUCCGUCUAAUAAAAUAUCAUCUAAUGGAAGAGCGAAAAAUAAGCUAUUAAGGUAGAUUU
rnacentral:lncRNA from 1 species